UACAGAGGUGGCAAGCGUUGUUCGGAAUUACUGGGCGUAAAGGGCGCGUAGGCGGCCUACUAAGUUCAGACGUGAAAUCCCCCGGCUUAACCUGGGAACUGCGUCUGAUACUGGAAGGCUUGAGGAUGGGAGAGGGAUGUAGAAUUCCAGGGUGUAGCGGUGAAAUGCGUAGAUAUCUGGAGGAAUACCGGUGGCGAAGGCGGCAUCCUGGACCAUUACUGACGCUGAGGCGCGAAAGCUAGGGGAGCAACGGG
rnacentral:rRNA from 1 species